rnacentral:rRNA from 1 species
AUUGAACGCUGGCGGCAGGCCUAACACAUGCAAGUCGAGCGGAUGAAGGGAGCUUGCUCCCGGAUUCAGCGGCGGACGGGUGAGUAAUGCCUAGGAAUCUGCCUGGUAGUGGGGGACAACGUUUCGAAAGGAACGCUAAUACCGCAUACGUCCUACGGGAGAAAGCAGGGGACCUUCGGGCCUUGCGCUAUCAGAUGAGCCUAGGUCGGAUUAGCUAGUUGGUGAGGUAAUGGCUCACCAAGGCGACGAUCCGUAACUGGUCUGAGAGGAUGAUCAGGCACACUGGAACUGGGACACGGUCCAGACUCCUACGGGAGGCAGCAGUGGGGAAUAUUGGACAAUGGGCGAAAGCCUGAUCCAGCCAUGCCGCGUGUGUGAAGAAGGUCUUCGGAUUGUAAAGCACUUUAAGUUGGGAGGAAGGGUUGUAGAUUAAUACUCUGCAAUUUUGACGUUACCGACAGAAUAAGCACCGGCUAACUCUGUGCCAGCAGCCGCAGUAAAAC